rnacentral:lncRNA from 1 species
GUCCAUUCGAUGGAUUACUUUUAUGAUGUGUAGAGAUGUCAUUGUGAUCCGAUUUCAUGAAGAAGAAAAGCAAACAGAUUCUUAUAAAUUGUUUUGAUCAUAAAUAUGUUUAGAUUAGAUCUAAAGCGAUUUAUGAUUCAUUACAAUAAGAUAAAUUCAGAUAUAAAAUUAUUUUAAAAUCUAAAAAAUAUGUUAUACUAGAUAUAAUCGAUAUUAAUCUAAAAGUUGUCAUGAUGCAUAUGAUGUAUGUAUAAAGUUUAGAUCAUACCUAUGCAUGUUUAAUUGUUAAACAUAUUAUAAAAAUUUGUUUUCAUAACUUGAAACAUAUAGUAUGCUUCACUUGAAACUCUGGUAGAAUAGUUCUACAAACUGAAGCACACAUUUUACACACUUAAUUUUAAAUUAAGUUUAAAUGAUCUAGAUUUAAAAAUUAAAGAUCAUUAAGACACUACAUAAAUCGAUGGGCUAUGGGUUAGUAUGAAUCAGGUCCUUUUAUUGAGUUAGAUCUAGGAUUAGAAACAUAUAUGGACUAAGUAGAAAAAUUGAUUAAAUCUAAUCAAGAGUUGAAUUAGAUUAGGUCAGAAUUUCUCUAGAUCAAUCUCAAUAGUUGAAGUUUGAUUAAGUCCAUAUUUUUGACCUUAAUAAAUGGACCAUGAUUAUGGCUCCGUAGUUGAGCCUGAAUCUUCUGGUCAAUCAAAUCAAAAUUAAUUAACCAAUUGGUGUCUAAGGUAAGUCCGACAGAUUCGAUUAAGUAAUUAUUAAUUGGGAGCUACUCACCUAGUUAGCAUCUACGGUGCGUUAAUGGCAUAUCCCUCCCACUGAUCUUACUUACUUGGCUAAUAUGGUAGAUUAUAUUUUGAUUAGAUCACUAGUUGAUUCAAGCUGACCCAUGCCAUCAAGAUAAAUCAGUAUGACUGACUUAGGUGUCUUUAGACCAACUUGUGUCUAAUCCUCUACAUGACUUGUUGAAGUCAGUGAGAGGAUUUACAACUUGCAGAUCAACUUCUUCUCUUAUUCUCAAGUCAAUAAAAUCAAAUCCUCUAAAUUAUUAGGUCCAUAAAAUGAUACAGUUAUGGUGAUAACUUGUUCAUAGCCUCCCAUUAAGAUGCAUGAUAAUUAGUCUAAUAUUUCAAUAGGCAUUGGAGACGCCACACGUCUGGUGUCUAUUACGUAUUGGAAUUAUCAUCCAUCAUAUGAUUAUCUUAUUGUACCUUCAGAUCAAUGCUUAGGUUGAUCGAGCCAUACUCGGGCCUGGAUAUCCAUUUGUUAAAUGCACUUGAUGUUGUCAUGUUAAUGGUUGGACCUAACCAGAAUUUUCAGUGGAGACACCACAUGCCUGCUGAAGGGAUGCCUAAGGCAAAACCUAAAUGCUAGAAGUUGUUUGGAGAAAUAAUUGGUUAUGAACCUACCGAUGGAUGCACUAGGAUUGGCCGAGUCACACUCGGACUCAAAUACAGUCUAUGGAUUCUAGAACCAGCUAAAGAAUUAAUAUAAUUCCUCGAGUUGGAGGUAGAGACUACCAAUUUGUACAAAAUAAUGAGAGAACCUUUAGAUUAAAGUCCAUAUCUUCGGGAUUAAAAGUAAUUCAUAUACUAAUAGGCUUUUAUUUUUUUCUUUCAGCUAUGGCCAACACACUAUCCCUCUGUUCGCUAUUGGACAGCGAUAAGCUUAUCG